rnacentral:rRNA from 1 species
GAUUGAACGCUGGCGGCAGGCCUAACACAUGCAAGUCGAGCGGAUGAAGGGRGCUUGCUCCUGGAUUCAGCGGCGGACGGGUGAGUAAUGCCUAGGAAUCUGCCUGGUAGUGGGGGAUAACGUCCGGAAACGGGCGCUAAUACCGCAUACGUCCUGAGGGAGAAAGUGGGGGAUCUUCGGACCUCACGCUAUCAGAUGAGCCUAGGUCGGAUUAGCUAGUUGGUGGGGUAAAGGCCUACCAAGGCGACGAUCCGUAACUGGUCUGAGAGGAUGAUCAGUCACACUGGAACUGAGACACGGUCCAGACUCCUACGGGAGGCAGCAGUGGGGAAUAUUGGACAAUGGGCGAAAGCCUGAUCCAGCCAUGCCGCGUGUGUGAAGAAGGUCUUCGGAUUGUAAAGCACUUUAAGUUGGGAGGAAGGGCAGUAAGUUAAUACCUUGCUGUUUUGACGUUACCAACAGAAUAAGCACCGGCUAACUUCGU